CAGAGGUGGCCAAAUCCCUAACCCUCGUUCCCCAUUUUGCAGAGCACGGCGGCGGCGUUCUUGUGCUUUGAGCACGACGCCGGCGGUCCUCUGUGUUGAGCACGACGGCGGCGGUCGUCUUCUGCGUUGAGGACGGCGGCGAAGGUGCAGAAGUGAGCACGGCGGCGAGCCAUUGAACCUGAGGAUGCUAGGACUUCUGGUUAUGUCAAAUGGAUUGACAAACCAUGGCAGGGAGGGAAAGAAGUGUCAUAGCUGAAUUAGCAAAGAAGAAUGAGGUGCUGGAGAUGAAGCUGGUGGAGAUAGUUGGUGAGAUAGAAGCAGAGAAGGAGAAGCACAAGAUGGAGAAGAAGAUGACUGGAAGGAUGCAUAGAGAUCAGCUUCAAUCUAGAGAUAGGAUGAUUAUGUUUGCUGUGUGCAUGUACUUUGGAUUAGUUGCAAUUGUGUUUGAAAUCUUUGACAGGAAGUGAUGUAUCCGGUUCCUAUUUAGAGAGGAGUUAUGUGUACUGAAACAUGUGAACAAAAUGUAGUAUUUGGUAAUUAAGAAGUGUGGUACAGAAUGUAGUAUUUGGUAAUUAAGAAGUGUGGUUUCAUGUCAAA